rnacentral:rRNA from 1 species
AGAGACGCUGGCGGCGUGGAUUAGGCAUGCAAGUCGAACGGUAUCAUCCUUUCGGGGGUGAGAGAGUGGCGAACUGUGAGUAACACGUAGGUUAUCUACCUCAAGACGGGACAACCCAGGGAAACUUGGGCUAAUACCGGAUGUGAGCAACUUUUAGUUGUUUGAAAGGUGGCGUAAGCUGUCGCUUGGGGAUGAGCCUGCGUCCUAUUAGUUAGUUGGUGAGGUAACGGCUCACCUAGGCAAUGAUAGGUAGGCGGCCUUAACGGGUGGUCGCCCACACUGGGAUUGAGAUACGGCCCAGACUCCUACGGGAGGCAGCAGUCGAGAAUAGUCUACAAUGGUCGGAAGACUGAUAGUGCGACGCCGCGUGAACGAUGAAUCCCUUCGGGGUGUAAAGUUCUUUUAUAUGUGAGCAGUGCUUCUUAUAUUAACAGUAUGGGGAGAGAGAUAUUAGCAUAUGAAUAAGCAACGGCUAACUCCGUG